GACGUAGGGCGCGAGCGUUGUCCGGAUUUAUUGGGCGUAAAGAGCUCGUAGGCGGCUUGUCGCGUCGACUGUGAAAACUUGGGGCUCAACCCCAAGCUUGCAGUCGAUACGGGCAGGCUAGAGUUCGGUAGGGGAGACUGGAAUUCCUGGUGUAGCGGUGAAAUGCGCAGAUAUCAGGAGGAACACCGGUGGCGAAGGCGGUUCUCUGGGCAUUACCUGACGCUGAGGAGCGAAAGUGUGGGGAGCGAACAGG
rnacentral:rRNA from 1 species